AUUGAACGCUGGCGGCAGGCCUAACACAUGCAAGUCGAGCGGCUGAAGGGUGCUUGCUCCUGGAUUCAGCGGCGGACGGGUGAGUAAUGCCUAGGAAUCUGCCUGGUAGUGGGUGAUAACGUCCGGAAACGGGCGCUAAUACCGCAUUCGUCCUGAGGGCGUACGUGGGGGAUCUUCGGACCUCCCGCUCUCAGAUGAGCCUAGGUGGGAUUAGCUAGUUGGGGGGGUAACGGCCUACCAAGGCGACGAUCCGUAACUGGUCUGCGAGGAUGAUCAGUAAAACUGGAACUGAGACACGUCCCAGAUCCCAAGGGGAGGCAGCGGGGGGAAAAAUUGGACAAGGGGCGAAAGCCUGACCCAGCCAUGCCGCGGGGGGGAAGAAGGUCUUCGGUUUGUAAAGCACUUUAAGGUGGGAGAAAAGGCAGUAAUUUAAUACCCGGCGUUUUGGACGUUACCAACAGAAGAAGCACCGGCAAACUCCUU
rnacentral:rRNA from 1 species